GGGCGUGUGGUCUAGUGGUAAAGACGUUAGCCGAGUAAGCUGAAGACCCGGGUUCGAUUCCCGGCUCGGCCA
rnacentral:tRNA from 1 species